UGAGUAACACGUAUCCAACCUGCCGUCUACUCUUGGCCAGCCUUCUGAAAGGAAGAUUAAUCCAGGAUGGCAUCAUGAGUUCACAUGUCCGCAUGAUUAAAGGUAUUUUCCGGUAGACGAUGGGGAUGCGUUCCAUUAGAUAGUAGGCGGGGUAACGGCUCACCUAGUCAACGAUGGAUAGGGGUUCUGAGAGGAAGGUCCCCCACAUUGGAACUGAGACACGGUCCAA
rnacentral:rRNA from 1 species